ensembl:lncRNA
AUACACACUUCUUCUCCGUUGAUCAAUUAGUCUAUAGUUACCCAGCAAUCAUCACCAUCUACUGAGAGCCAUGUCUGUGCCCAGGGCAGUGCUAAUGCUGUUCUCACAACACUUUUGGUCUUGGCUGAGAAGUAGAAAACACACAGAGAGAACUUGGGUCCUUUGCUUGUGUGCAGUUGGCCCUGGCCCUGGCUGCAUCAAUGUCCUUCUUGCUUUCCCUGAUCCCAGCCUUAGUCACAGUUCAGUGACUCACCCUCCAGGAGCUGUUGGGAAGUACAGAUGUUGAGGCGUGUCCUUUUCUUGCAGGCCGGGACACCGUGCUUCUCCUAUAAGGCAGAAACUGACUUGGCAUUUGAACCAGUUUAAGGCACGAGGAGGAAGUGUUGACACAAAGCAGAUCACAUAUUAGAGACCAUCCCAAGCGUUCUCCAUGCCCAGGCAGAUCUGAAGGGCUACAACAGCAUGUGUCAGCUGAGAUAUGACUCAGCUAACAGAGUGGGCCUCCUGGGGCUCUGGAUGAUGCAAAUCCGCCUGGCGAUUCUGCCCUGUGCUCGUGGGAGAGGAGAUGGGAAAACAGGAAAGAUGCUGUCGUCUGAUGAAACCAUUGACCCUCAUCAGCCUCGUGCCUCAACCCUCAGAGGGGCUGCUUCAAGGUUAGCUCUCACAAAUGCACGGGGCUUUUGAGGUCAUCUCCGGUGAGACUUUACAGACCUGGAGUCUGAGGCGCAGCUAGACGAAGCGACGUGCGGAGUGACUGGUUCUUUAGGUGCAAGUUCACCCGCAGCUGUGUGGAAGGGUGGGGAGCACCCAUGCUGUGCCAGGCUCACCCCUGCUUUAUGGUGUCUCAUCAAUCCAGUGGUAAAGGAGAAGUGAACAGCCCUGGGUGCUGUCGGCGUGUUCAUGAAAGGACCAAAAGGAACACCCAUUGUGUAAGCCGAGGUUCGUGGUAACUUCUCCAUGACACUACAGAGUGCUUUCUGUGUUGGACAUAAAGAAUAGCUAACACUUUUUCAAUCUGGUCACGCAGCUUCCUAAGUUUUUGAUAAAGAAGACUUGAGAGGGAAGACUUCUGAGUAAGCCCUGGGAAAAACAGAUCUUCCUGUGUGACAGGGUUUUUGUAAGGCGGAGCUCAGCCACUGACUAGCCAAGACACUCUGAGAGUUCACGUAGCCUCUCUAUGCCUCAGUUUCUUCCGUGGUAAUUUCAGGGUAGCAGAAAUCUCCAUAUCCAAGAUUGCUUUGCAAGUAAAUGAAUUAAGAGAUGAAAUCAUUUAUGAAAGCGCCCAGAAGACAACAAGCAACAUCAUUAUGUUGAGACCAUUAUACUAAUAGAAUAAAAUGAUGAACUAAACAAGGCCUUUCAAAAGGUUUCAUUUACCCAUAGACCCUGCAGACGCCAGACAAAGAAUACAGUGAAGUGAAUGAAAAUAUUCACUCUGUUUAAGACCUUCAGAUUCUGGUAAAGGAAAUACACUAAGAAACAAUCAAUAAUGAUAAAAUCAGUAAAGAAGAUGGAUUCAAGGUUAAUCAUGGUGAUCGUUAAACUUCUGUGUCUGCUUGGCAGGGUCACUGGGUGCCCAGUUGUUUGGUGACCUUACUGUGAAGUUCCCUAAGAGAAUAUGUUGGGAGGAGAUUAGCGUUUGCAUUGAUGGACGGGAGAAGCAGUUUGCUUUUUAACUCAUGGAACCAAAUGAAACCUGAACAGAAUAAAAAGAGAAAAUUCCUCUUGCCUCACUGCCCUGGAAACUGGACACAGGCUUUCCCCUUGCCUUCCAAUCUCAAGAUGAGAAACUGGCUUUUUCUCAGCAUCUUGCCAAAGUCUCAUGUCAGUGACUUGAAUCCCUCGGCCCUCCCCUUAGAAGACAACACAACAGAAUCUGGUUGCCUGUGAAGUAGUGUGAGUCCGCCGGACGGAGCCUAGGAGGGAGCUAAACAUGUACACAUCCGCUGGUCCCUUCAUCGGUGCCACAGCAGGGGACUGUCUGCUAAAAAAGAUGAGCCAGAGCCGCUUAAGACGCCAUCAAAAGAGCUAACGUUACUCCAUUGCGUAAUGGAAUGUGUCACUUGUGGGGAUUUGAGGGAGAGACAUCCUCCUCCGAGUUUCGCAGUUGAACACUUGGUCCCCAGUUGGUGGUGCCGUUUGGAGAGCCUUAGGUGGUGCAGCCUUGGUGGAGGACUGUCUAUCAAUGGAGGUUCUACAACCAUCGGAACAGCAUCCCCAGCUGACGACCCGACAUCCAAACACACCAGUACAGCUUUGGAGUUAAAGUCACUGGGCCAACAAGGGAAUGAAGAAGGCAGACAGGUGUACAGAAAAGCUGGGAUCCGGUAGGAUGUGUGCUCUGAUGGAUGCACACCAGCAGCCAGGGAACUGAGGCAGUUGUGGUCCUUUACAUGGCUGUGCUCAUGGCACCAAUACAUGUUCACUCAGGACGUCAUCUGUGCACCACACAUAUUCAAGCCCAUAGAGAGUCCAAAAUCAAGGUUCUGGUUGCUUCUGUUUCUGGGAGUGGCACCAUUAGGAGGUGUGGCCUUGUUGGAGGAAGUGGGUCACUGUGGUGGUGAGAUUUGAGAUUUCCUAUGCUCGGGAGACCGCCCCGUGUCUCAGUCGACUUCCUAUGGCCUUCUGGUCAAGAUGUGGCCUGAACCACAUCUGCCUGUAUGCCACCAUGUUCCCCAUCAUGAAGAUAAUGGACUGAACCUCUGAAACUCAGAUGGAGACCAUCAGUGAAAUCUACAACUGGUCAAAAUACAGAGAACGACUGACUGGGUUUUCACAACCCAAUGUGUUACACACUUAUAACACAACUUCUACACCUAAGGUGCAGGGAACAUUGUGACAAGGGAAAAGGUGGGAAGAUACUAAGAGCACCAGGAAAUCUGCUUAGAGCUUGUGUCUUCUAAAUGACAGAGAACUGAAGCCAUGAAAUCGUGACACCAUGACUGCUUGAACAAGAUUUAC